rnacentral:rRNA from 1 species
GUCGGUGUACCUGCGGAGGGACAUUA